rnacentral:tRNA from 1 species
GCGGGCGUAACUCAAUGGUAGAGUGUCAGCUUCCCAAGCUGAAAGUUGCGAGUUCGAAUCUCGUCGCCCGCUCCA